GUUCAUUUUAUAUUUUCGUACCUUCAAUCUCUCAUCAAAUGCUAGCUACAUCUAUUCUAUGGAGUAUCUUUAUUCGUCAGAGGGUAAGGAGUAGGGACGAUUGCCUCGUGAUUAAAGCUACUGUUUAUCAGCGAAAGCGUGAUGUUUCCUCUCCUCACGAACACCUCUCCUCACAAUCGGUCUCUCUCUCCCAAACCGGUGUUCUUUCCUCAAAUCAAACCCAGAAAUUCUUUCUUCAAAUCCAAAAAUCAAACCCAAAAAUCCUCAAAUCCAAUUCCUAGUUUAAAACAAAACCCAGAAAUGGAAUCCUCACAAACCCAGAAAGAACAAAGGAAUCGGCGAUGGAGGCGAGGUAGAGCUUGGUGCCAGGGACGGCGAAGCCAUGAAGAUCGGUGUGCGAGCAAUAAGCGAGGUUCGUGAGGGCGAGGUCUGCCACCGGAGUGUUCGUCACGAUUAUGGGAUUGGAAUCGACGUGGCCAUCGACGUUGAGGUGAGAUUGGAAUCGUGGGUUGCCGGUGCUAAUGGGUUUUGGUUGCCGGUGCAAGUGGAUUCGGGGCUUUGGGUUGGCGGUGCUAGUAGUUUCGUGGGUUUGGGUUGCCGGUCUAGUGGGUUUUGGUUGUGUUUUCUGGGUUUGAGUUGGUUGUGUUUUCUGGGUUUGAGUUGCUGUUUUCUGGGUUUGAUUCAUGGAUUUUCUGUGUUUUCUGGGUUUUAAUGGGUUUUGUGGUGGGCGGUGGUUUUGUUUUCAAUUUUUUGUUUUGCAAUGGAUUGUGGCUGCCACGAUGGUUGUGUUUUCUGGGUUUGAGUUGCUGUUUUCUAGGUUUGAUUCAUGGAUUUUCUGUGUUUUCUGGGUUUUAAUGGGUUUUGUGGUGGUGGCGGCGGCGGCAGCGGUGGCGGUGGUAGCGGCGGCGGCAGCAGUGUGUGGUUGUUAAUUACUGUGUUAGAUAUAUUAUUUUAUUGUAUUGUUUAUAUUAUUUUAAUGUGUAGUAAAUAUUAUUUUAAUGUAUAGGAUUGAAUGAUAAAACAUCUGAUAAAUGGGAUGUUGUAAAAUGAUGUGGUAAAAUAAUAAAGUAGGUCUUUAGUGUGGCAAAAUGGCAUAAAUUAUACCACAGCUGCUGUGGAUG